GGAACACGUCCAGCAGAGAGCGUAGCCCUUGCUAGGUUCACAGUAGAGGAAACUCAAAUCACUGUUUCUCUAAGGCAAUGUACCUUUAAAAUGAUCUGCUCUAAGUAGGCACAUUGUCUUCAAAGAAACCCAGAAGCCAGAGUCUCUGGGACCCAUGUGUGUGCAGAGCCAGGUUCUAGCAGGUGUUGGGCCUACAGUGUCUUCUCUCCACCUUUCCAGCAACCCGUGGACUUCACAAAACCUGGCCACUCAGCUGCUGCUUACUAUGUAGUGUAUCCCUCAUACUGGACACCACCCAGCUGUUGGAGACCCUGGAGGCCGAGAGUCUGAGGUUCCGACGUUGCAAUUCAAACCCCAAAGCACAGAAGAUCUUCAUUUUGGUUUCAGAGAAGUCAUUAUCUUCAUUUUUUGGGGGGGGGGAUACUGAGAUGACCCCCAAGAGAUAAGAACAAACAGAAUGUGUUCCAUCGUCCUCAAGUCUGCUGCAUCAGCAUAUAUUUUUCACUUAAAGCUUUUAAGUA
ensembl:lncRNA